CAGAGCUAGGGGUCAAACCCCUUCCUAACCUACAGUAUUGUGUGCAGCAUACCACGGGACCACACAGGAUGACCACUUAAUUAAGACUGAUGCAACCAGGGAGGGCUUCCUGCAGGAGGUAGCAUCUGAGCUGAGUUUGGAAGAAGGGCCUAGAGUUUGCCAGGGAAAGAAGUGGGAAAAGCAUUUUAAGGAGACUAGCAGAACGUGUAAAGGCCUGGAGGCAUGAGCAGGCCUGGU
rnacentral:lncRNA from 10 species